CCUACGGGUGGCAGCAGUGGGGAAUCUUCCGCAAUGGACGAAAGUCUGACGGAGCAACGCCGCGUGAGUGAUGACGGCCUUCGGGUUGUAAAGCUCUGUUAAUCGGGAUGAAAGGCCUUCUUGCGAAUAGUUAGAAGGAUUGACGGUACCGGAAUAGAAAGCCACGGCUAACUACGUGCCAGCAGUCGCGGUAAUACGUAGGUGGCAAGCGUUGUCCGGAAUUAUUGGGCGUAAAGCGCGCGCAGGCGGAUCAGUCAGUCUGUCUUAAAAGUUCGGGGCUUAACCCCGUGAGGGGAUGGAAACUGUAUGCCUUGAGUGCAGGAGAGGAAAGCGGAAUUCCCAGUGUAGCGGUGAAAUGCGUAGAUAUUGGGAGGAACACCAGUGGCGAAGGCGGGUCUCUGGACUGCAACUGACGCUGAGGCUCGAAAGCCAGGGGAGCGAACGGGAUUAGAUACCCCAGUAGUC
rnacentral:rRNA from 1 species